CUUGGAUCCGGACUUUCAUUUUGGCUCACGACGAACGCUGGCGGCGUGCCUAAUACUUGCAGGUAGAACGCUGAAGACUUUAGCUUGCUAAAGUUGGAAGAGUUGCGAACGGGUGACUAACGCGUAGGUAACCUGCCUACUACCGGGGGAUAACUAUUGGAAACGAUAGCUAAUACCGCAAAACAGCAUUUAACCCAUGUUACAUGCUUGAAAGGGAGCAAAUUGCUUCGCUAGUAGAUGGACCUGCGUUGUAUUAGGCUAGUUGGUGAGGUAACGGCUCACCAAGGCGAUCGAUAACAUAGCCGACCUGGAGAGGGUGAUCGGCCAUCACUGGGACCUGAGACACGGCCCAGACUCCUACGGGGAGGCAGCAGUAUGGGAAUCUUCGGCAAUGGGGGGGCAACCCUGACCGAGCAACGCCGCGUGAGUGAAAGAAGGUUUUCCGAUCGUUGAGCUCUGUUGUAAGACAAGAACGUGUGUGACAGUGGAAAGUUCACACAGUGACGGUAACUUACCAGAAAGGGACGGCUAACUACGUGCCAGCAGCCGCGGUAAUACGUAGGUCCCGAGCGUUGUCCGGAUUUAUUGGGGCGUAAAAGCGAGCGCAGGCGGUUUAAUUAAGUCUGAAGUUACAUAGGCAGUGGCUUUAACCAUUGUUCCGCUUUAGGAAACUGUUAGACUUGAGUGCAGAAGGGGAGAGUGGAAUUCCAUGUGUAGCAGUGAAAUGCGUAGAUAUAUGGAGGAACACCCGGUGGCGAAAGCGGCUCUCUGGUCUGUAACUUGACGCUGCAGGCUCCGAAAGCGUGGGGAGCAAACAUGGAAUUAGAUUACCCUGGUAUGUCCACUGCCGUAAACCGAUGCAGUGCUUAGGUGUUAGGCCCUUUCUCGGGGCUUAGUGCGGCAGCUAACGCAUUAAGCACUCCGCCUGGGGAGUACGACUAGAAA
rnacentral:rRNA from 1 species